GAGUUUGAUCCUGGCUCAGGAUGAACGCUAGCGGCGUGCAUGACCCAUGCAAGUCGGACGGGCGAGCGAGCGGAGCGGAAUAGCGAGCGAGUGGAAGUGAGAAAUCACAGAGAUGAGCGAGCUAUCGAGCGAAGCGAAGCUUGUCAGUGGCGAACGGGUGAGUAACACGUAGGUAAUCUACCUCAAGGUGGGGAAUAGCUGUUCGAAAGGGCAGGUAAUACCGCAUACAAUCGCAAGAUAAAAGGACUUAGGUCCGCCAUGAGAUGAGCCUGCGGCCGAUUAGCUAGUUGGUGAGGUAAGGGCCCACCAAGGCGAUGAUCGGUAGCUGGUCUGAGAGGACGAUCAGCCACACUGGAACUGAUACACGGUCCAGACUCCUACGGGGGGCAGCAGGGAGGAAUAUUGCACAACGGGGGGAACCCAGGUGCAGCAACGCCGCGUGAGUGAAGAAGGCCUUCGGGUCGUAAAACUCUUUUCUGAGGGAUGAGGAAGGACAGUACCUCAGGAACAAGUCUCGGCUAACUACGUGCCAGCAGCCGCGGUAAGACGUAGGAGGCGAGCGUUAUCCGGAUUUACUGGGCGUAAAGCGCCUGUAGGCGGUAGAGCAAGUCGGUUGUGAAAGCUCCAGGCUCAACCUGGGGAGGCCAAGCGAUACUGCUCGACUUGAGGACAGCAGAGGGGAAUGGAAUUCCUGGUGUAGCGGUAGAAUGCGC
rnacentral:rRNA from 1 species